rnacentral:ncRNA from 1 species
GCGUUGGCGUUGAAGAAGAGGAGUAGCUGAAACGGAAAUGUCAGAGAGCUGGUGGGUGGUGCGAACCAGUAUGGACGUUGCAGUGAAUGGACUUCUGAGCCCCAGACCGAACCCCUUGCGGAAAGUAGGCUCUGGCGAAUGGGCCUCAUCGUUACAAGAGGCAGGCAUUAAAGCAUGUGCUUUGAUGCUCAAAGCGGGCCGGUUUCGGCCAAUCAAGGUGGCACCACGGGUUUCUCGUCCUUAUC